CCUACGGGAGGCAGCAGUGAGGAAUAUUGGUCAAUGGACGAGAGUCUGAACCAGCCAAGUAGCGUGAAGGAUGACUGCCCUAUGGGUUGUAAACUUCUUUUAUAUGGGAAUAAAAUGUUCCACGUGUGGGAUUUUGUAUGUACCAUAUGAAUAAGGAUCGGCUAACUCCGUGCCAGCAGCCGCGGUAAUACGGAGGAUCCGAGCGUUAUCCGGAUUUAUUGGGUUUAAAGGGAGCGUAGGUGGAUUGUUAAGUCAGUUGUGAAAGUUUGCGGCUCAACCGUAAAAGUGCAGUUGAAACUGGCAGUCGUGAGUACAGUAGAGGUAGGCGGAAUGCGUGGUGUAGCGGUGAAAUGCUUAGAUAUCACGAAGAACUCCGAUUGCGAAGGCAGCUCACUGGACUGCAACUGACACUGAGGCUCGAAAGUGUGGGUAUCAAACAGGAUUAGAUACCCUAGUAGUC
rnacentral:rRNA from 1 species